rnacentral:rRNA from 1 species
AACGAACGCUGGCGGCAUGCCUAACACAUGCAAGUCGAACGAGACCUUCGGGUCUAGUGGCGCACGGGUGCGUAACGCGUGGGAACCUGCCCUUAGGUUCGGAAUAACUCCCCGAAAGGGGUGCUAAUACCGGAUAAUGUCUUCGGACCAAAGAUUUAUCGCCUUUGGAUGGGCCCGCGUUGGAUUAGCUAGUUGGUAGGGUAAAAGCCUACCAAGGCGACGAUCCAUAGCUGGUCUGAGAGGAUGAUCAGCCACACUGGGACUGAGACACGGCCCAGACUCCUACGGGAGGCAGCAGUGGGGAAUAUUGGACAAUGGGCGAAAGCCUGAUCCAGCAAUGCCGCGUGAGUGAUGAAGGCCUUAGGGUUGUAAAGCUCUUUUCCCCGGGAUGAUAAUGACAGUACCGGGAGAAUAAGCUCCGGCUAACUCCGU